rnacentral:rRNA from 1 species
GACGAACGCUGGCGGCGUGCUUAACACAUGCAAGUCGAACGAUGAAGCCUUUCGGGGUGGAUUAGUGGCGAACGGGUGAGUAACACGUGGGCAAUCUGCCCUGUACUUUGGGAUAAGCCUUGGAAACGAGGUCUAAUACCGGAUAUGACUGGCCUUCGCAUGGGGUUGGGUUGUAAAGUUACUGGCGGUACAGGAUGAGCCCGCGGCCUAUCAGCUUGUUGGUGGGGUAAGU